GUGAACUGACUACUGGAGAAUCAGAAUGAUAACGUAACGGUUUGAAGUGAUUCCUCUAAAACUACGACAUGCAGAAAUGUAUGGAGCUCGUUAAAGUCGCCAUAAACAAAAAGUAAUGUGGCGGGAGUCUACAAA
rfam:Clostridium aceticum strain DSM 1496, complete genome.